CCCAUAUCAGGAUCCCCACCGCGGAUGUCCUGGCUCCCGAGCAGAUACACCUUCAGUCCCCAUGCCUGGAUGCCGUCUGUGUCAGGGGCUAGCAGCUUUGGCCCAGAAGCCUCCCCAUCGCUGAUAUUGGCUCCAGGGACCACGGGGAAGGCUGUAUCCUCAGAACCCCCCAGCCCACUUGACUCAGUCUCCUCUACCCCAGGACCCAGUCACAUGACCCGCUCCGUGACUUUCACAAUCACCAAUGAAGUCUUCUCAGCUGCACUCUUGAACCCUGACUCCUGGAAGCACCAGCUGCUGCAUAAGAUCAUCCACCACCAGGUAAGUGCCCCUCCUCCGGUGUGCAGGUGGCCAGUGAGGCAAAGUGAGGCAGAGUUCCUGCAGCCAAAACCAAAUCUGCCUCCGCCUUGGUUCUGGAACCAUGGAUGCCCUAGCCGGCAAGUGCCAUUUCUUGCCUGGCAUCCAGGGGGAACUCUGAGUCUCUGUCCAUUAGUUUAUUGGUUCAAUCCUUCAUUUAUUCAACUAACUCACUUCUUCCUACCACUAACUGAGCACCUACUGUACCAGGUAUGGUGCUAAGUGCUGGGAACACCACAGUAAGCAAAAGCAAGCAUGCCCCCUGCCCUCAGGGAGCCUGCAGUCUGGAGGAGAGGACAGCCCUACAAGGCGUGAUCAAACAUAUCCAGAUGUCGUCGUAGUUGUGAUAAGCUAUAGAAAGGAGAAGUGCAGACAGGAUAGGCAGUGAGAGGGAGCUGCUGGGGAGAGGUGGCUGCCCAGACAACACCUUUCUGAGAACUGGGAAUUUUGACCGGGACAAGAAGGUGGCCAGAUGAAACACAGAGGGGCUUUCUAGGCAGAGAACGGCACCUGUGAUGACCUUGAAGUGAAGAGGUGGUCGGAGGCAGCAGAAGCAGAGGGACGCCAGCGAGAGGGGCUGUGAGGAGAAUAAUUUGAAACAGGGGUGGGAGAGGGAGGAGGGGAGGCCUGUUAGGAGCACGGUAGUCGUCCAAGCCAGAGAGGUCUGGAUGGCAGGCCAAC
rnacentral:lncRNA from 1 species